rnacentral:rRNA from 1 species
CAGUCGCCACGGUAAUACGAAGGGGGCUAGCGUUGCUCGGAAUUACUGGGCGUAAAGCGUGCGCAGGCGGUUAUAUAAGACAGAUGUGAAAUCCCCGGGCUCAACCUGGGAACUGCAUUUGUGACUGUAUAGCUAGAGUACGGCAGAGGGGGAUGGAAUUCCGCGUGUAGCAGUGAAAUGCGUAGAUAUGCGGAGGAACACCGAUGGCGAAGGCAAUCCCCUGGGCCUGUACUGACGCUCAUGCACGAAAGCGUGGGGAGCAAACAGGAUUAGAUACCCGCGUAGUCCCUGUCUCUUAUAC